rnacentral:SRP_RNA from 1 species
GCCAGGCACGGGUGGGUGCAAGCCUGUAGUCCCAGCUACUUAGGAGGCUGAAGCAGGGGGGAUUGCUUGAAGCCCAGGAGUGUUGGGCUGUAGUGCACCGUGCCUACCUGGUGUCUGGUACUAAAGUUCAGCAUCAACAUGGUAACCUCUGGGAACUACCAUGGUCGCUUAACGAGGGGGUGAAUUGGCACAGAGUAGAAGUGGAAGCAGGUCAAAACUUCCUGUGCUGAUCAGCACUGGGAUCACAUGUGUGAACAACCACUGCACUACAGCCUGGGCAAAAUAGUGAGACCCCCAUCUCAU